UCCCCCGGGGUCUGGGCACUGUGACCACCACGGUUCUCCUGUUGCUUGACUCAUCUUUUGUCCUGUAGGGUUACCUGGGUACACCUGGGCCAGUUUUCCAUCUCUCCUUCCUGCUAACUCUCCCAAGGAAAAGCAACAUAGUGUGAAGAGCAGUUCUGGAAGAAACAAAGUUGGAAGCUCCUGGCUGGGUUUAGAGGCUUGAGAAAUCCUUCUGACGGGACAAGCACGUGCAUGCAUUGUUUGCAUUUGUUAUUCCAGUCCUGGAUUAUUUACCACGAGACACCGUGCACCAGGUGUUGGGGAUUUUAUUGGCAGAGGUUCUUAUUUACAGCGGAAUCCAAGGAAACAGGAAAGGACUGAAAGGUUGCUGAGCUCUCCGUGCUCGCGCCGCCAGGGCGGCACCGGCUCUUCCACCAAAACCUCCAGACAAAACAUCUCAGCAGUUCUGGAACAGAGACAACACCUCGUGGAGAGGAUGUCAUCGUCAACACCUGACAAUGUCCUGGUCGCCAUCCCAGCCACGGUGUCUGGAAGGAGGGAAAAAGGAGACGUGAAGAUGGAUGAAAAAUCUUCAUGGCACCAGUGGCCAGCGCUCCCUGUGGCACUAUCAGUCCAGAGGGAGGUGGAAUCUGGAGGGAGGGGCUUUGGAGCCGUCCAGGCUGUUCUUGCUGGCUAAUGGAAUUUUUUAAUCUAAAUACAGUUUUCCUGCUCUUCCCA